UCUGUAUGCCUGUGAGUAUAUAAAUUAAUGAAAAUCAAAAUUACACAAUUCUGAUCUCGUAGAUCCAAGCAAAGUUCAAGAUCAACAGACUAACGUGCGCCGCCCAUCAAAAGGAUAUAAUCAGUUUGGAGCAGUGUCAAAUCAAGGCUAUAAAUCGCAACAGAUAUGUCAUGAACAUGCGAUAUAAACUGAUAAAAACCAUAACAGAGUUACAGGUUCAUUUAAAGUUUUUCAAACGGGAACGUGGUGGAUGGCAUCCGUUUUUGUAUGAUACGAGUGCAAAUAUUUGCGAGUUCUUCAAGUUCCCCAAGAGAUAUUUACUGUUAAAUGAAAUGUUCAAGAGGUUGAAAUCAUAUACGAACAUGAAUCACACCUGUCCCUAUAUGGCUAAUACAGAAAUUCAGAUUAUGGACGGGACCGUGCAUGAUAAUAUUUUAAAGUCAUUUCCCGUUGAUCCUGGGGAAUAUGCACUCCACACAACUUGGUAUCACAAUAAGAAAAUACUUUUUCAAGUCAACGGUUCGGUUAUUUACUCCGACUUGUUGAGAAAUAUGUAGAGUAAUCUUUACUUUCUUGGUAUUAGACGAAAAGCAAGGUUUGUGUAGAGAUUGAUCGCCAUCAAAGUCUAUUAUCUGGAAAAUACAUAGAUAAAAACAUAUUACUGGCAACUUAAUCUAAACUUAGUUAAAGUUUAAUUUAAUCAACCUACCUCACUAUUAAGUCGUUUAAACUCUGAAAUGCCAGCUAAGAUCUUUCGCCUGUAAAUAACAGAGCAGCAUAAUUAGGUUUCUAUACCUAAGUUAACAUGUUGGGUAAAUAACAGUAUUAACAUUUGUUUACAUUUUACAUACACUUUGCAAUAUUAACAGACAGGAGCAGUUGCCUAACACUGCACGCAAUUGCGUCUG